rnacentral:rRNA from 1 species
UACGGAGGGGGCUAGCGUUGUUCGGAAUUACUGGGCGUAAAGCGUACGUAGGCGGCUUGGUAAGUUAGAGGUGAAAGCCUGGAGCUCAACUCCAGAAUUGCCUUUAAGACUGCCGAGCUAGCAGGUGAGAGAGGUGAGUGGAAUUCCUAGUGUAGAGGUGAAAUUCGUAGAUAUUCGCAAGAACACCGGUGGCGAAGGCGGCUCACUGGCCCGGUUCUGACGCUGAGGUGCGAAAGCGUGGGGAGCAAACAGG